GACGAACGCUGGCGGCGUGCUUAACACAUGCAAGUCGAACGAAGAGAGAUGGAAGCUUGCUUCUAUCAAUCUUAGUGGCGAACGGGUGAGUAACGCGUAAUCAACCUGCCCUUCAGAGGGGGACAACAGUUGGAAACGACUGCUAAUACCGCAUACGAUCUAAUCUCGGCAUCGAGGAUAGAUGAAAGGUGGCCUCUACUGUAAGCUAUCACUGAAGGAGGGGAUUGCGUCUGAUUAGCUAGUUGGAGGGGUAACGGCCCACCAAGGCGAUGAUCAGUAGCCGGUCUGAGAGGAUGAACGGCCACAUUGGGACUGAGACACGGCCCAGACUCCUACGGGAGGCAGCAGUGGGGAAUCUUCCGCAAUGGACGAACUUCUGACGGAGCAACGCCGCGUGAGUGAUGACGGCCUUCGGGUUGUAAAGCUCUGUUAAUC
rnacentral:rRNA from 1 species